UUCCAUGCGCUUGAAGAAAAUCUAAACACAAUGCCUACGUCCUACACUGUAUGUGGAUACCCUGUACUGUCCUUCUCAACUGUAUUUCUAUAAUUCUGUCUUCAUUCUAAAUAUUGGUAUUUUCAUUGAAUUCAUUUUCAUAUCCGAGUGGUGUUAAUCGUUGUUAUCCGUACACGUACGAAUACAACACCUUACACGUUCUCCAGCUUUCAGGGACUACUUCUUGAUAAAGCUUCACUUAUUAAUGCUUCAUUUAUCUCGAACCUGUCCACCCUACCCCGAGCCUUUUGAGCGUCAACUUAUUUAUGCCUAAUAUUUUAGAAUGUGGAGGUAUCGGUGGAAAUUCGCUGUGCUGAAGGUAUGAGGGGUCUCCCUCCACACAGUUAUUUAUCAAGAAAAGUUCUUGAUCACCCAUCACGCGCUAGUUUUCUGUAGCCCAUGUCGCCCAUCGGCAUUGCUUAAAUCACGCUGAAUGAGAAACGCCAAACUGGGAAUCAGGACAUAGGCUGUAACUAUAUAAAUGAUGUAGUAGCGAUAUGAAUAGCCUGAAUAGCUAGCUCAAUACCUUGAAAGCUAUAGCAAUUUGAGGUCCCGACGCAAAAUAGCUGCCCGAUUUACAUCAGCCAGGACGGCAUUGGUAGGCUUUCAUUCGGUGGAUGGUGGACCUAUUUCUGUUUUUGUGUGGCGUAUACACGUUUCUGUCUCGUGAGAGUACCCAGCAGUUGUGCGAUGGUGUCAUAGUAGGUCACCUGUGAAAUUAAAUUUUAGUUCAUUCAUAGGUGUUUGCUAACCCGUGCUCUAUGUCAAUAUCAAGUCAAGGUAUAGGUAUAGAAUUAUAGCUAAGUGUCCGUUUACAAGACCUUAUAUAAUGUUCUAAUGAUGAUGAGAAGGAGUAAAUAUUAGAACUGUUGUCAAGCUCCUCCUAACCGCGCUCAGUCGAGGCCGGAAAUGUCAUUAAGUUCCUCGCCCCUUUACUCACAUGGGUCACACUCUCAAGCUCAUGUGCGAGUUUCAUGUGAGAGGAAAUGGUGUUUUACGACAUUUGUAAGCAACGAAGGAGGUAUUCCUUAUAUCGAGCCUGUCUAUUACUAGCUUUUUCUCACAGGAUCACGAACAUGUGUUCACUUUUUGAAUCGCAGUGAGCAGAUGAGUGACGCUUAUUUAUCUGAUCUAAUAUUGUUUGCACAUUGGGAUAGGUUAGUUGGAUUCUACCCAAUCGAUGCUGAGUGUUGCAGGAUGUAAUUUUAAUACACAUCGCUCGAUGAAUGGACAUAUAUUUUUUUUCGAAGCAGCCGAAUUUCCCCUGGAAAACGUACACGACGAACGUCACACAGGCUGAGCUCGUUGGGUCCAAUCCGUAAGCAUCAUCAGAAUUAUCUCCUGUCCAUUACUUACCCCUGGCCUACCGUUUGGCAAUGUUGGUUUUGCUCGUUGGCAAAUUCACGUGUCAUCACCAUUCACGAAUGCACUGCAUGGUGCAUAGCUACGUCUCAGCGUCCGUCUUUAAGUGCGGUCCUCCUCACAUUUUAUGUAUUUUUAUCAGCAUCAAAUAGCUUUGAUUUUUAUAUUCCAAAGUUCCUACCGCAUAUGCAAAGAAGCGAAACCAGAUUUUUUUGAAGGGGUGAUAGCGAUGUUCAAUCCGCAGCGUUUGAAUUUCCUUCUCUGGAGAUCCGCCACUGCGAGUUGUUAUCUUUGAAUCUAAUCGAUGAAUGCCUGUCAAUCGUUUCCCACCGCCUCUACUCCCUGCAGUAAAGGAUAGUGUGAGUUACACACAAUUAGAAAAUAGGUAUAAUUAAACUCAAUGAUCAAGUCAAAUACAAACAAAUAAAAUGCGUAAUAAAAAUUGAACAUACAUCAUGAUAUUUGUUCUAUUGUUGCAGUUUUCUUCAUUGCUGUAGUAGGUAUUUAAUUCGAAUUUAAAGCAAUUUCUGCAUCAUGUCACAUGUGUUUUUGACGUUCCCUGAACUCUGAAAAUGGCCUUGGGCGAAAUUUACGAAAAUAUUUGCACACAAAGAAGGCUACCUAUUGCGUUUUUCGCUAAUACUUCCACAUUUAGCACCAUGUCAUAAAAUAUUCUGUCUACGUUUUUGGGAUACCAGCUGUUGUAACGUAUUUGCUCGCUGAUCCUUCACUAAAAUGUUCCUUUUUUGUUAGGUGGGUAGAUAAUGAGUAAAGAUGUGGCCAUUCAGAUCUAACGCCCCUUUCUUCGACCCUGCUCCCCCGGAUUCCGUGCCUGGCACCGCCUCUGCCAGCCACUGCGGCCCGCCCCAGUCGCCGUGCCUGGAGCCGCCCGUGCGUCUGUCCUGCCCCCGGGCGGUAUGGGGUCGGCCGGAGCGAGGCUGGCCGUCGCGCCCGCGACCCUUUGCUCGGUGCGCUCGGUGCGGGCGGGCGGCUCGCGGCGUGGUGAAGAACUUUGGUUGAAUACCGCCGAUAUUUUUAAAAGUGUUGGUUUGUCGGGUCAGUGGUCUGGACUGCGGUGCCGCUACCUCCUCUCUGUGCUGUGGAGACGGUCACCGGAGAGGGAGCCGGUCCCGUCACGGGUCCCGCGUCCCAACGACCCGUCAUCGGACCCCGAACGGUCCACUGCUUCAAGACACCACCGAUCUAUCCGCCAAAGACGCCAGUUUAUAUCAGGUGCGGCUGGAAGCUGGUGAAGCUGCUUCAUGACACCACCGGAACCCACCACUGGAGUAAACUGAUCACUGAUCAGUGGGUGCGGCGAGUCGAGACCAAUGGUCUUUGGUUCGCCAGUCAGGAGACUCUGAACGGUGCGGCAGUGCAGGAGGGAGUGUGGCGCCGGACACCUACACCAAAAGAUAAGUUUUUUGCCUGAAUUUUAAAAUUUUAUAUGGUGUGAAUUUAAUGAUAAUUUAUCGUUAAUUUACGGUAGUUUCGACAUUGCUUUGGCCUUUCAGGUUAUAUCCGCUCAUACUAUAAAAUUGUUCUUAAAUUUUGUUCUCAUUUCAUUAAAUGUUCUUGCUCUUGUUCAUGUUUUUCUUCAUUCGUUAAUUCAUUCGUACUCUUAUUUCAGGCUCACCCAAAACCACUGGUUCACCGAUGGUGGCCCUGCUUCAGCACACCAACGGGACCCGCCACAGGAGUCGGCUUACCAGGAUGUCGGACGUUAGGUCAUCGACCUGAGUAGCAGACGUUGAAGAACAUUCAGAAAUGGCCGCUGGUGUCGCCUGAAGCAUCUCAGAUGAGAAAGGGGCUGUCGUUGUUGUGAUGUCUGAAUAAAUACAUGUUUAUUGGGAGGUGGGGAGUGUUGUGACGAGAAGGUGGGUGAAAUAAACCCGCCCUCUCGUAUAUUGCCAUGGGUAGUUGUGGAUAUUCAGGUUCAGGUCAUGAAAGUAUUUUAAAAAAAUUAAUUGGGAGGGGACCGGGGCAUCAACUGACUGUCGCUGACCAAUGGGUAGAUGGGCGAGUUGUGCUACGAUAGUACGAUGCUUUGACGUGAGUGAAUGUUUAGAUUAGUAACCUAGUAGAUUUAGAUUAGUAGGAUGCGGAUUCUGAACAGUAAUCGUCACGCACUUUAAGAUUAAGAAUGUGGAUCACUCAAUACAAUGGUGACUACCAAUAA
rnacentral:lncRNA from 1 species